UCCUGGGUGUAAACGCUGCCCGCUUGAUGUUGGGCAAGCUUCGGGCUUGCCCAGUGUCGGAGCGAAGGCGUUAAGCGGGCUGCCUGGGGAGUACGGCCGCAAGGCUGAAACUUAAAGGAAUUGGCGGGGGAGCACUGCAACGGGUGGAGCGUGCGGUUUAAUUGGAUUCAACGCCGGGAAGCUCACCGGGGGAGACCCCCAGAUGUGGGCCAGGCUGAAGACCUUGCCCGACU
rnacentral:rRNA from 1 species